CCUACGGGAGGCAGCAGUAAGGAAUAUUGGUCAAUGGGCGCAAGCCUGAACCAGCCAUGCCGCGUGCAGGAUGACGGCCCUCUGGGUUGUAAACUGCUUUUAUACGGGAAGAACAGCAUCUACGUGUAGGUGUUUGACGGUACUGUAAGAAUAAGGACCGGCUAACUUCGUGCCAGCAGCCGCGGUAAUACGAAGGGUCCAAGCGUUAUCCGGAUUUAUUGGGUUUAAAGGGUGCGUAGGCGGCUUUUUAAGUCAGUGGUGAAAGCCUGAUGCUCAACAUCAGAACUGCCAUUGAUACUGAAGAGCUUGAGUACAGUUGAGGUUGGCGGAAUGUGUCAUGUAGCGGUGAAAUGCUUAGAUAUGACACAGAACACCGAUUGCGAAGGCAGCUAGCUAAGCUGUUACUGACGCUGAUGCACGAAAGCGUGGGGAGCAAACAGGAUUAGAUACCCUGGUAGUCCACGCCCUAAACGUUGAUAACUCGUUGUUAGCGAUAUACUGUUAGCGACCAAGCGAAAGCAUAAGUUAUCACCUGGAAGUACGGUCGCAAGAUUGAAACUCAAAGGAAUUGACGG
rnacentral:rRNA from 1 species